rnacentral:rRNA from 1 species
CCAAUCGCGUAUAUUAAAGUUGUUGCAGUUAAAAAGCUCGUAGUUGAAUUUCGGAAUUUUUUUAUCGGUUGAACCAACAGGUUCGUACUGAUUUUAAGAAUUUCUACCUUCUGGAGAACCUUAAUGUCAUUUAUUUGAUGUUUUGGGAAACCAGGACUGUUACCUUGAAAAAAUUAGAGUGUUUAAAGCAGGCUUACGUCUGAAUAUAUUAGCAUGGAAUAAUGAAAUAGGACGGCAUGGUUCUAUUUUGUUGGUUUCUAGGAUCACCGUAAUGAUUAAUAGGGAUAGUUGGGGGCAUUAGUAUUCAAUUGUCAGAGGUGAAAUUCUUGGAUUUAUUGAAGACUAACUUCUGCGAAAGCAUUUGCCAAGGAUGUUUUCAUUAAUCAAGAACGAAAGUUAGGGGAUCGAAGACGAUCAGAUACCGUCGUAGUCUUAACCAUAAACUAUGCCGACUAGGAAUCGGACGAAGUUAAUUUUUUAAUGACUCGUUCGGCGCCUUACG